UGGCUCAGAACGAACGCUGGCGGCAAGCCUAACACAUGCAAGUCGAACGGACAAUUAUUUAUAGCCUCUGGCUAUAGGAAAUUGUUAGUGGCAGACGGGUGAGUAAUGCGUAGGAAUCUACCUAGUAGUACGGAAUAGCCAUUAGAAAUGGUGGGUAAUACUGUAUAAUCCCCGAGGGGGAAAGAUUUAUCGCUAUUAGAUGAGCCUACGUUAGAUUAGCUAGUUGGUGAGGUAAUGGCUUACCAAGGCUAUGAUCUAUAGCUGGUCUGAGAGGACGAUCAGCCACACUGGAACUGAGAUACGGUCCAGACUCCUACGGGAGGCAGCAGUGGGGAAUAUUGGACAAUGGGCGAAAGCCUGAUCCAGCUAUGCCGCGUGAGUGAAGAAGGCCUUCGGGUUGUAAAACUCUUUCAAUAGGGAAGAUAAUGACGGUACCUAUAGAAGAAGUCCCGGCAAACUC
rnacentral:rRNA from 1 species